rnacentral:tRNA from 1 species
GUCAGGAUAGCGAGGGCGUGGGUUCAAAUCCCACUCCUGACA